AUACGGAGGAUCCGAGCGUUAUCCGGAUUUAUUGGGUUUAAAGGGUGCGCAGGCGGCCAUUUAAGUCAGCGGUUAAAUCGUGGGGCUCAACCCCACUCUGCCGUUGAUACUGGGUGGCUUGAUUGCGGUCGAGGUUGGCGGAAUUCGUUGUGUAGCGGUGAAAUGCAUAGAUAUGACGAAGAACACCGAUUGCGUAGGCAGCUGACCAGACCGCAAAUGACGCUCAUGCACGAAAGUGCGGGGAUCGAACAGGAUUAGAUACCCUGGUAGUCCGCACAGGAAACGAUGAAUACUUGUUUUCGGCGAUAUAAUGUCGGAGGCAAAGCGAAAGCGAUAAGUAUUCCACCUGGGGAGUACGCCGGCAACGGUGAAACUCAAAGGAAUUGACGGGG
rnacentral:rRNA from 1 species